GCUUGUCUCAAAGAUUAAGCCAUGCAUGUCUAAGUAUAAGCCUUUAUAUGGUGAGACUGCGAAUGGCUCAUUAAAUCAGAAACUGUUUAUUUGAUAGUGCCUACUACAUGGAUACCUGUAGUAAUUCUAGAGCUAAUACAUGCGCAAAGUCCUGACUCGCGAGGGGAGGGAUGUAUUUAUUAGAUACAAAACCAAUGCGGGUUCUGCUCGCCAUUGUGUUGAAUCAUAGUAACUUAUCGAACGCCAUAGCCUUGUGCUGGGCGUAGAUCAUUCAAAUUUCUGCCCUAUCAGCUUUCGACGGUAGUGUAGUGGACUACCGUGGCGUUAACGGGUAACGGGGAAUUAGGGUUCGAUUCCGGAGAGGGAGCCUGAGAAACGGCUACCACAUCCAAGGAAGGCAGCAGG
rnacentral:rRNA from 1 species